ensembl:lincRNA
CUUUUCCCUCUGGUGGGCAGGGCCAUGCUCUGUGAGAUUUUAAGUUGCAUGGCUGCUAAUGGGUGGGGCUGUGUUCACUUCCUGCCAGUUGUUUGUCCUGAGGUGACACAGCACAGAAGACUACAGGCUGUUUGGUGGUGCUAAUAGUGACCUCCAGGAGGGCUCAUGCCAACGAGUACUUCCCAGAACUUCUGCUGCCAAUGUCUUUGUCCCCACAGUGAACCACCACCCCCUACCUCUGCAGGAGACUCUCCAAUACCAGCAGGGCUGCUGACAGGCCCGUUAGCAACACAGAGCCUAAUUACUUGCCAAGAGUAAAAGAAAAUGUGUCAUUUGGUUGUUCUGGCUUUUCCCG